rnacentral:rRNA from 1 species
AUUGAACGCUGGCGGCAGGCUUAACACAUGCAAGUCGAGCGGAGUGAUGGUGCUUGCACUAUCACUUAGCGGCGGACGGGUGAGUAAUGCUUAGGAAUCUGCCUAUUAGUGGGGGACAACAUCUCGAAAGGGAUGCUAAUACCGCAUACGUCCUACGGGAGAAAGCAGGGGAUCACUUGUGACCUUGCGCUAAUAGAUGAGCCUAAGUCGGAUUAGCUAGUUGGUGGGGUAAAGGCCUACCAAGGCGACGAUCUGUAGCGGGUCUGAGAGGAUGAUCCGCCACACUGGGACUGAGACACGGCUCAGAAUCCUACGGGAGGCAGCAGUGGGGAAUAUUGGACAAUGGGGGGAACCCUGAGCCAGCCAUGCCGCGUGUGUGAAGAAGGCCUUAUGGUUUUAAAGCACUUUAAGCGAGGAGGAGGCUCUUUUGGUUAAUACCCAAGAUGAGUGGACGUUACUCGCAGAAUAAGCACCGGCUAACUCUGUGCCAGCAGCCGCAGUAA